CUCGUUUCUAUGGCAACAGGUCUGCUUUGUUCCUAAGCACCAUCUGGUAUUUUCAGGACAACCAGGCAGCUUCACUUUUCAGUCUGUUCUGGAUAGAGUGUCUUCUCCGAGGGUGUGCUGAAGUCAUCACCUCCAGAGCUACCAGAUGUGACCACAACUGGGAUAUUUGCAGUGUCUAUCUUUAAAUGGAACAGAUGCUGAAAACAUCUUUCCUCCCAUCUGGAGGUUUCAGAGACUGGAGAAGCUCACAAAGACAGAGAUGCUCAUCCUGACUCUGUUCUUCCCACCUGCUCCUGCACUACGGACAAGCUACCCAGCUCUCUCCGCCCAGUGUUGCACACAUUAAAAGCGCUGUUCUCACCUGG